GCCAACUUAGCUCAGCUGGUAGAGCAUUUCAUUCGUAAUGAAAGGGUCGUCGGUUCGAAUCCGAUAGUUGGCUCCA
rnacentral:tRNA from 1 species